GAUGAACGCUGGCGGCGUGCCUAAUACAUGCAAGUCGAGCGAACAGACGAGGAGCUUGCUCCUCUGACGUUAGCGGCGGACGGGUGAGUAACACGUGGAUAACCUACCUAUAAGACUGGGAUAACUUCGGGAAACCGGAGCUAAUACCGGAUAAUAUAUUGAACCGCAUGGUUCAAUAGUGAAAGACGGUUUUGCUGUCACUUAUAGAUGGAUCCGCGCCGCAUUAGCUAGUUGGUAAGGUAACGGCUUACCAAGGCAACGAUGCGUAGCCGACCUGAGAGGGGGAUCGGCCACACUGGAACUGAGACACGGUCCAGACUCCUAGGGGAGGCAGCGGUGGGGAAUCUUCCGCAAGGGGCGAAAGCCUGACGGAGCAACGCGGCGUGAGUAAGAAGGGUCUUCGGAUCGUAAAACUCUGUUAUUAGGAAAGAACAAAUGUGUAAGUAACUAUGCACGUCUUAACGGAACCAAAUCAAAAGGCCACGGCAAACUAGGG
rnacentral:rRNA from 1 species